ensembl:lincRNA Gm43674 predicted gene 43674
NNNNNNNNNNNCACAUGUGCAGAUUAUUUGUUUACCACUUAGAACACAGGAUGUCAGCGCCAUCUUGUAACGGCGAAUGUGAGGGCGGCUCCCCACAGCUCCUGCCUUGGAGAACCUGUUGACUGACUGAGCUGGCUUGGUCAGAAGCCAGCUUGGAUUGUAUGAAAUUCUGUCUCAAAAAUAAGUAAGCAUCAUGGGUGGACAUAUAGGCAGAGAAAAAAAUAAUUGUGGCAUCUCUGUGAAUACAGCAAAGAUAAAGAAAAGAAAAACCAACUGUGAAAAUUGUUCCAUUAGCUGUUUUGAUAUCACACAGCAAUAGUCAAGUGUAAGCCCUACCCAGUGAUCUGACCUAAGACUGGCUGUGUAAACAAAAUUGAGUGUAGGCAUUAUAAGUCUUAUAAGUGGAGAGAGUCCAUUCUGUCAGUUAACUGAUGUCACUUGCCAUGGCCAUGUGUCUGGACAUUGCAUGUACCAAUAUUUUCAGAAGCAAGAAUCUAUGUACAAGUGAGCAUAGCUUUUUUCUUCCUCCUCACUGCUCAGCUUGUGCAUGUGGCAAGCCUUGAGUUCAAGCCCAUCUCUGUGCUGUAUGCACUUUGGACACAGCAGCUAUCUUACCUUACACAGUGGAAAAUGAAACUUCUUUUGCAGCACCGUGGGAAAAAUAAAUCAGAUAAAUGGGGUAAAAACAUUCUGUAUUUAGCACAAAGUCCUAAAAAUGUAAAAGUGCAUUUAUCAGAAUGAAUAAUGACAUUGUUUUUAAGUAAAUGGCAUUAAAAUGAAAGCAUUAUUGCAUUCUC